rnacentral:rRNA from 1 species
GCGAGUGAAGCGGCAAAAGCUCAAAUUUGAAAUCCCCCCGGGGAAUUGUAAUUUGAAGAUUGUGUUUUGGAGACGACCGUGUCUAUGUUCCUUGGAACAGGACGUCACAGAGGGUGAGAAUCCCGUGCGGCACGGCCACCGUCUCCUUAUAAGGCACUCUCGACGAGUCGAGUUGUUUGGGAAUGCAGCUCAAAGUGGGUGGUAAAUUCCAUCUAAAGCUAAAUACAGGCGAGAGACCGAUAGCGAACAAGUACAGUGAUGGAAAGAUGAAAAGCACUUUGAAAAGAGAGUGAAACAGUACGUGAAAUUGUUGAAAGGGAAGGGCAUGCCGUCAGAUUGUCAGUGUGGGUAAGAAGCGGGGUACAAAGACUGAGGAACGUGGCCUUCGGGUGUUAUAGCUUCAGUUCAUCCCCCGUCUCUUUCCGAGGCCUGCUAUUAGGACACCGACGUAAUGACGGUACGCCGCCC